rnacentral:rRNA from 1 species
UAGACGUUCUGGGCCGCACGCGCGCUACACUGACGCAGCCAGCGAGCGCCUGCCUUGAGAGGGGUGGGUAAUCUUUAAACUGCGUCGUGCUGGGGAUAGAGCUUUGCAAUUAUUGCUCUUGAACGAGGAAUUCCUAGUAAGCGCGAGUCAUCAACUUGCGUUGAUUACGUCCCUGCCCUUUGUACACACCGCCCGUCGUUACUACCGAUUGAAUGGCUUAGUGAGGUCUUGGGAGCGUUAGCUUGGUGGGCGACCGCCGCGCUGAUGCAAACUUGAUCAAACUUGGUCAUUUAGAGGAAGUACAAGUCGUAACAAGGUUUCCGUAGGUGAACCUGCGGAAGGAUCAUUUUUGAAUCUUCUACACACUGUGAAGAGCGGCCCGCGUCAGCGGGGCGCGAUUGCUUCCGGUUCGCCGGGCUUUAUUUUUACCAAUAUUCGUAAUUUUAGAAAGAAAAACUUUCAACAACGGAUCUCUUGGUUCUCGCAUCGAUGAAAAACGCAGCAAAGCGCGAUAGGUAAUGCGAAUUGCAAACGUGAGUCAUUGAAUCUUUGAACGCCCAUGCGCCCGUUUACUGGCAUACUGGGUUGAGCGUCGGCCUUCCUCCCCAGGUAGUGCUGCUUCUAGCA